CUGACACUUUGAAGUGCUCCUCUGCAUUCGAUAGCAUUUCAUCCUCGCAUAACUCACCAAGUGUCUUUUGGUGCGCCUUGCGCGUUUUUGUGGAAAUGAAGGCGGAAUACCCCAUGACUGGACAAGAUUUUGCGCAGUUUCUUUAAGGCUUUGAAACUCCCCUCUGAGUGAUACAAGGGUCUCAGGCGCACUUGCUAGAUAUUUGCUUGCCUGCAAAAUAUCAAUGUUUUGUUUUUGGAGACUUUGUGAAAGAAUAGUUUCCAGAAUUUUACCCUGUAUCACUGUUUUUAUUUUAAAUAUUCGUUUUAUUUAACGCUCAAAAUACAGACAAUAUCAUGACCUGAACCCUAUAUGCUUCGAUACAACAUUACAGGGCUGUAUCAACAGAAGCUAACAUUUUGAAAGGGCAACCUCUCAGUUUGGAGGGACAACAUUGAGCUGAAGAGAGACUGUCAUUAAAGCUCUGUGUCUACUUCAAUGAGGACAGCAACAUAAUGGUCAAGGAAUACUUGUGAAGAAGCCAAGAGGGUGAUUGCACAGACCACCAUGGGGAUUCCUGUAAUUCGCCCAGAAGGUGCUGAAGAAGAGGACGAGUCAGAGGAUGUUGGAGUGUUCAUUGAGGAAGUGGAACUGCUUAGCAACCUGAAGAGCAUCUCCCUUGGGUAAUCCAUACUUUUUGGCCUGACUUACACACUCAACCUGAGUUAUCCCCAAGAACUCAAAUAUCCCCAAGAACUCAAAUAUACAUUUGAGUUCUUCCAAAAAAGUCCUGAUGUCCCUGGAUGGCAACAAACUCUCUCCAAAGGUCCGAACACUCAAGAUUAAGAUGCUCCAGUAAGGACUCACAAGGACAAGGAAGUGGAACUGCUUAGCAACCUGAAGAGCAUCUCCCUUGGGUAUGCCAUACUUUUUGGCCUGAUUUACACACUCAAAGUCAAAAGUUAGGUUUCUUAUUGUUGCUUUUCCCUAUUACUACAUUACUGUCAGUUUGGAAAUGUUUUUAUUAUAAAAUAGCUGAAUGAUUUUGUUACAUUUAGGUGUAAUCAGGUGAAUGGUGUAUGUCAUUCUGUCAUCUUUAAAUGCUACCAAGUGCUGGCUCAAGUUUCUUAACUACGGUCAUUUUGGAAACUGAAGGAUGUUUACAAAUGUAAUGUUCUUAAAAGUUUUAAGGUGUUUAAUUUUAUUAUUUUUUUCUACAUUUGACUUUUUGAAUUGUUUUGUUUGGGCAGAGUUGAAAAAUCUCCCAGUCAAACAAAAAAUUAUAAAUACUUCUCUGCAGAUGGGAUAUAGGCUUCAACACAUUAUCUCAGGACAGCAAGUUAUUCAGAAAUUAUAGCCUAAAUUCUUCAUCUUAUUUACACAUGUGACUAGGCCUAAUUUAUGGUUAUUGGUACUUGAUUACAUUUCAUUGCAUUCAUUCAGUACUACAGCACAGAUUUUUUUUGUACCUCUGGCUGAAGUUGCUGUUACACUGAAUGGUUGUUCAGUCUUGCUGAGAGCUAUAAUAUUUUUGGCAUGAGUCUUUUAGCAUCAUUGUCUUCAGAAAUGUCAGUGUGCAUGCAUAGUUGUUCCCAUUCCCUAUCAGUUUGACAAUUGGUGUCUGAAUUGUUAAUAUAAUAUCAAACAGGUGGCAGUUUUAGGAUGAACUCCUCUGUCAUGUCCUAUGUGCAGACACGUGAGAGGUACAGAUGCACACCAGUAGCCUCUUGCUUAAUUGUACUAUUUUGUUUUUACAUAUUUACACAUAUUGCCCAUCAAUGUUACAAAUAAAUGAAUGCCAGUCAUAUUCAAGCCAUUGACAAAUGAGGUGACUCAAUC